rnacentral:rRNA from 1 species
UACGUAGGGGGCGAGCGUUGUCCGGAUUUACUGGGCGUAAAGAGCGCGUAGGCGGAAAUUUAAGCGUGGCCUGAAAGCCCCCGGCUCAACCGGGGAGUGCGGCUGCGAACUGGGUUUCUUGAGGACGAUAGAGGAGAGUGGAAUUCCUGGUGUAGCGGUGAAAUGCGUAGAUAUCAGGAGGAACACCCGAGGCGAAGGCGGCUCACUGGUCCAUUACUGACGCUGAGGUGCGAAAGCGUGGGGAGCAAACAGG